ACACUACAAACCAUUAAAGUCUGAAAUGGCCUAUAUCUGUACUCGACUGUACUGAUUUUUACUCGACCAGUCUGGAUUGGUCUGACUUUUACUUGACAUUACUCGACCCCAGUCUGAACCAUACUUGACUGUACUGAUUCGUACUUGACCCUUAUCUUUGCCGUUGAAAAUAGUCUGAACUAUUACUCGACCAGUCUGAAACAGUCUUAACCCAUUCUCGACAUGUACUCGACCUAUUUUCCAGUCUAAACCAUACUUAACCAAAGGUCUGAACAAUACUCGACCAGUCUGAACCAUACUAGACCAAAACAAA
rnacentral:lncRNA from 1 species